AGCUAAUACCGCAUAACGUCGCAAGACCAAAGAGGGGGACCUUCGGGCCUCUUGCCAUCGGAUGUGCCCAGAUGGGAUUAGCUAGUAGGUGGGGUAACGGCUCACCUAGGCGACGAUCCCUAGCUGGUCUGAGAGGAUGACCAGCCACACUGGAACUGAGACACGGUCCAGACUCCUACGGGAGGCAGCAGUGGGGAAUAUUGCACAAUGGGCGCAAGCCUGAUGCAGCCAUGCCGCGUGUAUGAAGAAGGCCUUCGGGUUGUAAAGUACUUUCAGCGGGGAGGAAGGGAGUAAAGUUAAUACCUUUGCUCAUUGACGUUACCCGCAGAAGAAGCACCGGCUAACUCCGUGCCAGCAGCCGCGGUAAUACGGAGGGUGCAAGCGUUAAUCGGAAUUACUGGGCGUAAAGCGCACGCAGGCGGUUUGUUAAGUCAGAUGUGAAAUCCCCGGGCUCAACCUGGGAACUGCAUCUGAUACUGGCAAGCUUGAGUCUCGUAGAGGGGGGUAGAAUUCCAGGUGUAGCGGUG
rnacentral:rRNA from 1 species